rnacentral:rRNA from 1 species
UACGUAGGGUGCGAGCGUUGUCCGGAAUUAUUGGGCGUAAAGAGCUCGUAGGCGGUCUGUUGCGUCGGCCGUGAAAACCUGCAGCUUAACUGUGGGCCUGCGGCCGAUACGGGCAGACUUGAGUUCGGUAGGGGAGACUGGAAUUCCUGGUGUAGCGGUGAAAUGCGCAGAUAUCAGGAGGAACACCGGUGGCGAAGGCGGGUCUCUGGGCCGAUACUGACGCUGAGGAGCGAAAGCGUGGGGAGCGAACAGG